GGGAAGUCGACGCUCCUAUCGUAGACGCGCCCUCUGCUGACCACAACAAGGGACCUGCGAUCACUCCUGUCAGCCUGUUCCUCCGUCCGGGUGGCUCUACGGUUCCUUGGUCUUCGCUGGGCUGGGCCUGGUGCUCAUGGUGGCCGGGAGCGUCUGGCUGAUCAUCACCUUCGUCAGGAAAGCGACCUUGAAUGGCAGAAGGAGAGGCCUCGUCUAAUCGGGGGUUUAAGAGGUCAUUUAGGUUGCCAUGGUUACUAAAGGUCGAGUUGCAGAGGUCGCCGGGGGCCAGGUUGCCAUAGUUACCAGAGGUCGGGUUGCAGAGGUCGCCGGGGGCCAGGUUGCCAUGGUCAACAAGCGUCAGGAUGACCAGGUCAUUUAGGACUGGGCAGAGGUCACCUUGUGGCAGUUUAAAGGUCUCAAAGGGGCAGUAAUGUGCCCAGGUCACCAAGAAACAUGAACUGCGCUACCGAGGUGAGGCUUUGCAGAGGGCAGUAAGCAUUGCCAAGGUCAACAAGAACCGCGCUACCGAGGUCACCAUAGACUGACAGGUCAUCAAGGGCAUGGAUACCUAAGUCACCAAGUCAGGCUGUCGGGGUCACUUAGGCUGUCGGGGCGGGGGAGCCUUUUGCAUAGAAUAAAAGAAUAUAUUUAUAUAUUUAUUUCGUUGAACUAGCAAUUAUGCCUCUCACAUUUUUAAUGCUGUUUAACUCCUUUAGGAUUUUCGAUUGGCAAAUGAUGACGUCAUCGCUUUUGCUUUCGUCAUGGUUUUCAAAUAUGAGUUCGAAUUUUCCAAAGGGCCAGAGCAUCUGAAAGCCUCUUGCUUUCGAAACCCAGUGCAUUCGAGGCUUGAAAUGAAAAAAAAAAAAUUUUUAAACCGAGUGCAUUCGAGGCUGAAGUU